AUUGAACGCUGGCGGCAGGCCUAACACAUGCAAGUCGAGCGGAUGAAGGGAGCUUGCUCCUGGAUUCGGCGGCGGACGGGUGAGUAAUGCCUAGGAAUCUGCCUGGUAGUGGGGGAUAACGUCCGGAAACGGGCGCUAAUACCGCAUACGUCCUGAGGGAGAAAGUGGGGGAUCUUCGGACCUCACGCUAUCAGAUGAGCCUAGGUCGGAUUAGCUAGUUGGUGGGGUAAAGGCCUACCAAGGCGACGAUCCGUAACUGGUCUGAGAGGAUGAUCAGUCACACUGGAACUGAGACACGGUCCAGACUCCUACGGGAGGCAGCAGUGGGGAAUAUUGGACAAUGGGCGAAAGCCUGAUCCAGCCAUGCCGCGUGUGUGAAGAAGGUCUUCGGAUUGUAAAGCACUUUAAGUUGGGAGGAAGGGCAGUAAGUUAAUACCUUGCUGUUUUGACGUCACCAACAGAAUAAGCACCGGCUAACUUCGUG
rnacentral:rRNA from 1 species